rnacentral:tRNA from 1 species
CAAGACGUAGCUAUAAUAAAAGCAUUCAGCCUACACCUGAAAGAUAUCUGCAUUCACCAGAUCGUCUUGA